UGGUGCGACCAUACCAGCACUAACGCACCGGAUCCCAUCAGAACUCCGAAGUUAAGCGUGCUCAGGCGAGAGUAGUACUAGGAUGGGUGAACCCCUGGGACGACCUCGUGUUGCACCCC
rnacentral:rRNA from 1 species